GGAGUGUGUGUAUAUGUGUGUGUGUGUGUGUAUAAUUGUGAUUUAGGUGAAAGUUUACAGAGAAAAUUAGUUUAUCACUAAACAGUUAAUACACUAAUUGCUUUGUGACACUGGCUGAGAAUUUGCAUUUCCACCUCAGAUAUAUUGAAUCAGAACGUACAGUACAUUUUAACAAGAUCCCCAGGUGUCUGUUAUGUAUAAUUUCCUGGGAACUUCUUAGAAAGACAAAUUCCCAGCAGGGUUCAAACCAGAAUGAACCAAGUCAAAGCCCUAGUUAGAACUUGCAGCUUCAGUGGAGUACUCCUGGAAGCUUCUAGGGCCACUCAGUCUGUAGUCUUGAAAAGAGGAUGUCACAAAAAAACAGAUUUUUAUCAUAUACUAGCCGAGUGAGCAUUUUAAGUAAGUAUACUUUCCAGAUUAGCUUGCAUUACUUUUCAUUAUUAAUUUUCAGUUGUAAGAAUCAAACAUGAACACAUUCUCCUUAGGAAAAUAAGUACAUUACAGAUAAAUAUCGAGUCUUCUUUGUCAGUCCCCUGAUCCAGUUGCCUCUCCUCCCCACCUCCCCACCUCCUCACCUCCUCAUUCCCUGUUUUGAGUUUGGAGUAAAUCUUGCCAGAUCAUAAAAUUUAUAUAAACACACAUGUGUUUGUUUUUACAAAAAUUAUACUCUCCCACAAUAUCAUUUACUUUUUUCAUUCCUUCUUGUUCCCCCCUCCCCAACCAUCUCACCCAGUUUUUAUUUUAUUUUAUUGCGGUAAAAUAUAGAUGAAAAAGGUUGCCAUUUUAGCCAUUUUUAAGUGUACAUUUCCAUGACAUUAAUUACAUUCACCAUGUUGGGCUACCAUCGUCACCAUCCAUUUCCAAAAGUUUUUCAUUACCCCAAACAGAAACUCAGUGCCCCUUCAGCAACAACUUCCAUCCCCUGCUCCCCCAGCCCCUGGGAACUACUAAUAAACUUUUAUCUCUAUGCCUUUGUCUCAUCCAGUUUUUAGAUGCCUGUUCAUACAUGCAGAUCUAGUUCAUUCUUAGCUAUUGAGUGAAAAGACCUCAUUUCACUUAUCUGUUUUCCUACUGAUGGCCUUUAGGUUGUUCCCAGAUUUUCGUUUUUAUAAACAAUGCUGCAGUGAACAUCUCCUACCUGUUUGUGCCAGAGUGUGUUUUUCUAGGGCGGGCACCCAAGAGGGGAAAUGCUGGGUCCUAUGAUCUGCACAGUUUUAGUCUUAGAGACUCUGGCAAAUUGCUCACCAAAGUGACUGUGCCAAUUUAUACUUCCUGCAGUAAUGAAAAUGCCUGUUUGCCUUAAACCUUGCCAAAGUGUCCUAUUUUCCUACUCAGAGGAGCUGCUCAGUGCUGAUUGCACUGGGAGAGUUCCUGAGAAAUUGAGGUCACGUGCAGCCUCUCCCUCUGCAGUGAGGAAGAGUCUCUGGUUUCAGCCAGGCCAUUGAUCUAGAGAGUCACUGGGCUCAUCCAGUAUACAAACUGCUUGCCUCUUCACAAUAUUACUGUGUGAAGGCAAGAAGUAAUUGCCCCUGAUAGUCAAUGCAAGGAGCCCUGGUGGUGCAGUGGUUAAAAGCACUCCACUGCCAACCAGAAGUUCGGCACUUUGAACCCAUCAGCUGCUCUGAAAGAUGUGGCAGUCUGCUUCCGUAAAGAAUGUACAGCCUUGGAAACCCUAUGGGGCAGUACUACUCUGUCCUAUAGGGUUGCUAUGAGCUGGAAUCGACUCGAUGGCAGUGGGUUUGGUGUUUUGUUUGUUCGUUUUAGUCAAUGCGAAAUAGGUUGCAGCUACACUAUGGGGACCAGGGCAGAGGAUGGAUGGAACUCAGGGGCUCCCCUGGGUAACGGUUAAUGGGAGAUAAUUAACUAACAAGGGCAUAGACCUUCUGGGAUUAAAGUUUGGGACACCUCACACCAGCAAAGUAAGAGGGAUUAGGAUUGUAUAAUGGAGGAGGGAAAACUGAUGACCACUUGCAAAAAUGAAGACUGUUGCCUACACUCAAAGUUUCUUCCUUGUAAAUAUGUAUAUUUAUAUAUUUUAAUGAAUUUCUCCUCUCUUUGACUGCUUUGUCCCCAAUAUAGAUGAAGAUGGUUAAACUUGCUAUUUAGCCCAUAAAAAACCUGUUGCCGUCAAGUGGAUUCUGACUCACAGUGACCCUAUAGGAUAGAGUAGAACUGCCCCACAGUACUUCCAAGGAGCGGCUGGUGGAUUCAAACUGCCAACUUUUUGGUUAGCAGCCAAGGUCUUAAUCACUGUACCACCAGGUCUCCAUUUAGCCCAUAGGCUGUAGAAUUAUGAUGAAAUCAGAAGAGAUACAGAUCUUGGAGCUGGAUGCAGAAACUGAGGAAACAUUGGGGUGUCUCUCUUUGGGGAAUGUGUGAGUACGUUUUCUGUUGUAUGGGAAAAAUCACAUUAUUUUGGGCAACAGAAUUUUCGGAAGUGUAUACAGGUAGUCCGUGACUUACAACAGGGCUCUGUUCCAACAACUCUGUCUUAAGUCAGAUCAGACAUAAGUUGAAUACCUCGUUUAAAAAAUUUUUUUCAUUAUUAUUGUCUUUUAUUAUCAGUAUCUUUAUAAAUCUAAUCUUUAUUUGUCUUUGGGGGUUAAAUUCACAUACAUAUUUUAAUACAUACAUACAUAUAAAAUACACAAAUCAUAAAAAUUUACUGCAAUGAUGAAGAGUCGGAUGAUGUUGGCAUUUUGCCAGUUGCAGUAAUAGCUCCAACUUGUGGAAGGUUCGGAUUACCCCUGUGAAUAGGGAUGGAGUUUCUAGUCAGAAAAUUACUGAGACUUGUCUGUAAGGUCCUUUUCUUUUUUUCUUCAUAUAUUUUUCGGUAACAUCUCACUGCUUUCUGAAUUUGCCUCUCCACUUUAGCAAAGCGAUCAGUGUUUGGGUCGUUGUGUUCAAGCAACUGAAGCCCCUGAUGUAGUUUAGAAAACUAAAUCUAUACUGCAAUGUUUUGAACAGUAAAUCGAAAAAUUAAACAUCUACAAGUGAAUAUCUGAGAAAUACAACAUCAGUAAAUUACACACUGCAGCAUUGUAUGUAGUACAUAUUACUAACAAUAAGAUGUCCAAAACAACAAUGGAGGGUCCUAAGUACAGUUCACUGUAACUUGAAUACGUCGUAAGUUGGAAACUACCUGUAUAUGGGAAGAAGGGUUAUGUGAAUGAUGAGCAACCAAAGGGAUGGACUGUUUGGGGGAAGUGUAGCACCCAACACUUACUUAUCCUUCCUAACAGCACACAAAAUUAGACUGGGAAAUUCCCUUGGUGUGUACAAUCUUGGUGGAAGGAUAUAUUAAGGAGGUGGCAGAACUCCUGCUACAGAAACUAAAGAGGCCCCUGAAGGCUCCAUCUGCCAGAUACCUCCUUUCACCAUUUCGAUAGAGCCAAGGUGCCAGCAUGUGGCCUAAGCUAUGUGAGGGUGACUCAGUUUUCUGGAACUUUCAAUCCUUUACUCCUAAAUGGAGUGAAACAAGUCUGUUAAUCAUUUAUCCCAGUGGCAGUGCUGGGAAAGACUGUCAAACAACUCCAGCUAUAGAGAUUCUCUGGAACACCUUGAUUCUUUCUGCUCUGUUCCGUUGGACGAAUACCUUAGAAUUUAUUUAUCCAUUCUCUAUUGACAUCUGGGGCUAUCACAAAUACUGCUACUAUGAACAAUCUUGCACUUUUCUUUUGGUGCACAUAUUCAAACAUUCCUCUUGGGCAUACCCAGGAAUAAAAUUGCUGGGUCAUAGUGGUAAUAGAUUACAUCAUGCGUCUUUGACUUAUCAAAGUCAAAUGUUAAUUGGUACUUUUGUCUACUUCUCAGACAAUGCAGGGACCUUAGAACAUUCUAUUUAUACUCCCUCCUGACUUAUACGCCACUGUAAUCAUGUAUAUUAAAUCUCUGUUAUGAAUUGAAUUAUGUGCCCCAAAUAUGUCUUGGAAUCUCAACCCCUAUACCUGUGGAUGUAAUCUAAACUAAUGUAAUGUGAUCGCCUUCUAUAAUGCAAUCUAAUGUAAUUUAAGCAAUCAGUCAGUUGAGGUCAUAUCAGUGUGGGGUGGAUCCUAAACCUAAUUGCUUCUGAGUUACAAAAAGAGCAAAUUAGACACAGAGGCACGCAAACACAUGAGGGAAGACAGGUGCCAUGUGAAGAUUGCCAAGGAACCAAGGCUACCUACAAGGAAGGAAUCAACACUGCAGAGACUCUGAUUUGGACUUUCAGUCUCUAAAACUGUAAAAAAAUUAAUUUCUGUUCUUUAAAGCCACCCACUUGUAAUAUUUCUGUUACAGCAGUACUAGGAAACUAAGACAACAACCUCAUAAGACAUUAUUAUUAUUGUGUUGUACAAUUAAUUUAGAAUUCUACAUAUUUAUCCUUUCACUUGCUCUUCAUUGCUUCUUGUAUCUCCAAACUACCAUCUGGGAUUAUUUUCCUUCUGCCUGAAUGACACCCUUCAGUAUUUCUUUUAAGAAAAUUCCGCUGGUGAUGAAUUUCUUUUGUCUAAAAAUAUUUUCAUUUUACCUUCAUUUUUGAAGGAUAUUUUUAUGAAAUAUGUAAUUUGGGAUAGGCAGUUAUUUUCUCUCAGCACUUUAAAGCUAUCAUUUCAUUGUCUUCUGACUUAUUCUGUUGCUCUGUUGAAAAAUUAACUGUCAGUCUUAUUAUUACUCAUUUGAAAAUGAUUUUUCUCUUUUCAUGUCUUCUUUGAAGAUUUAUUUCUUUAUCUUUUGCUUUCAGCAGUUUGACUAUGAUGCACCUAGGUGUGGUUUUCUUUGUAUUUAUCCUGCUUCAGAUUCUUAGUGAUUCUUGUGGCUUCUAAGUUUCAUUAGCUUUGAAAAAUUGUCAGCCAUUAUCUCUUCAAGUAUUGCUUCUGUCCCAUUUUGCCUCUUCUUUCCUUCUGGGACUCCAGUUACCCUUUUGUUAAAUCUUUUCAUUGUAAUACAUAUGUCUCUUGCACUAUUUUCUGUAUUUUCCAUUUUUUGUUUUCUGUACUUCAUCAUGCAUUUUUUUCUCCCAGCCUAUCUUCCAGUUCACCAGUUAUCUCUUUAGUGCUGUUAAGCCCAUCAAUCCAAGUUAUUAAUUUCAGUUACUGUAUUUUUCUGUUCUAGAUUCCCGUUUGAGUAUUAUCAUAGCUUUGAAUUUUCUGCCAAAAUUCUUAAUCUUUUCUUUUAAUUAUUUGAGCAUAUUAGCCAUAGUUAUUUUAAAAUUAGAACCUGGUAACUUUAUUAUCUAGAUCUCUUGUGAUUCUGCUUCUAUCAUAUGGUUUUCUUCUCUUGAUUUUUAUUUCACAUUUAUUCUUGUAGGUUACUGAGUAUACAUUUUUAAGUUGGCUGUUAUUUUCUUUCACCUCAUUAAAAUUAACUUCCCAUUGUCUUCUGGCCUCCGCCCCCCCCCCCUUUUUCUUUGGUGAUCUAGUUAUUGAAAAGUCAGCUGUCAGUCUGUUUCUUUUUGGAGAUUUUUCCUGCAAUUUCAAUAUGAUGUAUUAGGUGUGGAUUUGUUUCUUUAUCUUUUCUUUUUUUUUUAAUUCUGCCUGAAAUGCAUUGAGCUUCUUGAACCUAAGAAUUAAUGUCUUUCAUGUCAGCUUGUAUUACUUGAAAAUAUUGCCUCUCUCUUUUCCUUCUGGAACUCCAGUUAGACAUAUGGCAAACUUCUCACGUCAUUUUCUAUGCUAACUUUUCUUUUCAUCUCUAUGAUAAAGUCUGGAUAACGUUUUCUGAAUCAUUUUCCAAUCAGCUCAUUCGUUCGUCAUCUCUAUUUUGUUUGCUGUUAAACCUACCCAUUGGAUUUUUAACUUCGGUUACUGUUUUUUAUUUCGAGAAGUUCUGUUCAACUCUUUUAGAAAUAAAGGUUUUUUUUUUAAAUAGUUUUAGAUUUACUGAAAAGUUGCAAAGAUAGUACAGAGUUCUCAUAUACCCCACAUCCAGUUUCCCUUAUUGUUAACUUUUUACAUUAGUAUGGUAGAUUUUUCACAACUAAUGAACCAAUGCUAAUAAAUUAUUAUUAGUUAAACUCCAUACUUUAUUCAUAUUUCAUUAGUUUUUCUCUAAUAUCCUUUUUCUGCUCCAGGAUCCCAUCCAGGGUACCACAUUACAUUUUAGUUGUUAUGUCUCCUCAGGCUCCUCUAGGUUGUAACAGUUCCUCAGAUUUUCCUUAUUUUUGAUAACUUCGACAGUUUUGAGGAAUACUGGCCAGGUAUUUUGUAGAAUAUUCCUCAAGUUGUGUUUGUCUGUUGUUUGCCUCAUGAUUUUUUGGGAAGAAGACCACAAAAGUGAAGUGCCCUUCUCAUCACAUCAUAUGAAGGAUACAUGCUAUCAACAUGACUUAUCACUAAUGAUAUGUAAAAAUGGCAUGGCGGGGUGGUGCCUGACUUCCUCUAACUUCGAAAGGGGGAAGGAGAAUCAUAAUCAACAUCAACAGCUCAAGGCUGAUUCCUAUGAGGUGGAGGUCAGACAUGCCUCCACCCUCCAACACCAUCCACCCCUCCCACGGCACUCUUCUCUGUUGGGUUCAAUAAUUUGUUGCAAUGGCCACACAGAACUCACAGACCAUACUCAUGAUUAUGGGGUUUAUUAGGGAAGUAACAGGUUACAAUUCAGGAUAAGGAACAACUCAGGAUGUAGUUCUUCCAUCAGAACAGCCUCUUCUCUGUCGUGCUCACAGGCAGGCCUCUCUCUGGCCCUCGGUCACUCAGCCUGGCCUCUGCCUUUCUUGGACAAGUGUUACAAAGCUCUUUAGCUCUGCCAGUAAUUGCCCAGGGGCCCCUCCACUCCACCAGGAAGCCUUGGCCUGAAGGCGUUCAGCUCUCUCACUCCAUAGGCCGGGAAGGCUAAUUAAUGUUCAGUCUCCUGCUAGUCUCCUGGUUCUGCUGCCUGUACUGCUGCUGCUUCUUGCUCUUGCUACUGCUGCGCCACUGUCUCUGUCUUCUGUGUUACAGCUCUUCUUUCUCUCUCUCUCUGUGUCUCCCUUUAAGCCUAGUGGGAUGGCAGAACUGAUCAAUCCCCUCGUUAGGGUUCCAUACACAUUAUUUGCAUGGUCACACCCCCACAAGGGUGCCAUACACCUUAUUUACAUUAUUAACAAGGUAUCCAGUCCCCUUGGUGGGCCACAAGCACCUCAUUUGCAUAUCCUCACCCAGUCAUUUGGUGGGAGUUAUAAGACCACGGCGAGAAAGGCCAUGUAAAAGCAAUCCAUUGUACCACAUGGUGUUAACCUUUAUCACCUGGCUGAGACAGUGCUUACUAGGUUCCUCCACUGUAAACUUACUUUUCCACCCCUUUCAAUACUGUACUCCUUGGAAGAUAGUCUCUAAGCACAGCCUACACUUUAAGGGUAGAGAAUUAUACUUUGCCUCCUUGAGGGGGAGUCUACAUAAAUGACUUGGAAUUCUUCUGUACUGGAGAUUUAUAUAUUCUCCAUUUAUUUAUUUUUUCAAUUGUAUAUGUCAGUAUAUAUCAGUAUAGACUCAUGGAUAUUUAUUUUAUACUUUAAGUUAUAAUCCAAUACAUUAUUUAUUUUGUUGCUCUUGCUCAAAUUGAUCUAGGUUUGGCCAUGGGUAGCACCUUCAGGUUGCCCCCUGUAUCCCUUUAACAUACCCCCAUCUUUUUUUCCCCUUGUUUUGAGCACUUUCUUACUUUCUGACAUUACAAGAUGCUCCAUGCUCAUCUUGUAUAUUUCCUGCCCCAGCUCUAGAAUCAGCCACUUCUCCAAGGAGCCCUGGUUCCUUCUAUUAGAGAAUGGAAUUGAAAACCAAGAAGGGUAACUUUUUAUAGUUUUCUCUUUUUGCAUAUAUUUUUGAUUAUGUCUUUUAUCUCUUUAAAUGAAGUAAUCAUGUAAUAAUCUCUGUCUAAAGUUUUGGUAAGUGUGUUUCUGAUGUCUGCUGUUUUAACUGGCUUCUACUCAUGGUACCUUGUUUUCCUAAAUGUGUUGUUAUUUUUUACUUUAUACUGCUCACUGUACUUGAAAAAUUAUUUUGAAUGUAACCAUUUUUUUUUUCUGGUUUCUGUCACCACUGAUUGGAGCCUCUGGGUGGUGCAAACGAUUAAGUGCUCAACUACUAACUGAAAGUUGGUGGUUUGAACACAUUCAGAGGUGCCUCAGAAGAAAGGCCUGGCAAUCUGCUUUUGCACAGUUGCAACCUUGAAAACUCUAUGAAGUGCAGUUCUGCUCUGAACACAUGGAGUUGUCAUGAGUUGGAACUGACUCAAAAGCAACAGGUUUGUUUUUUUUUGGCUUUACCACACUGAUUAGUUUUUCCUGUUUUUGAAUAUUAUAUAAAUGGAAUUAAUACCAAACAUGUAUGUGUCUGGCUUCCUUUGCUGUGUCUAUGAAAUUCGUUUUUGUUGUAUACAUAACUUGUUUGUCCUUUUAUAUUGCAGUGUAACACUCUAUAGGAUGGACAGAUCACAAUUUAUAUAUCUAUUCUCCUCUUUAUAGACAUUUGGGUUGUUUCCGGAGCCCUGGUGGCAUGAUUAAGCGCUUGGCUGCUAAUUGAAAGAUCAGCAUUUGGAAUCCACCAGCCACUCCACUGGAGAAAGAUGUGGCAGUCUGCUUCCAUAAAGAUUACAGCCUUGAAAACCCUAUGGGGCAGUUCUACUCUGUUCUAUAGCAUCGCUGUGGGUCAGAAUCGACUCCACGGCAACAGGUGUACAACAAGGUGGAUUGACACAGCGGCUGCAACAAUGAGCUCAAGCAUAACAACGAUUGGUGGCAGUUCAACACCUGGAACCCACCAGGAAUUAAAGGAUCAGCCCAAAUCUUGGGCUCCUCUGCAUAUAAACUGGUUGUAAGGGGCAAACAGAAAACACAUCAAAAGGGUGUGAAGAUGCACAUUCCCUGGGAGAAAACUUGAAUCCUCUAGUGAAUACAUUUUGGGGUGUCCACCUAGCUGCAAAAAUGGACUCAAACAUACCAGCAAUCAUGAAGAUGAUGCAGGACUGGGCAAGUUUUGUUCCAUUAUAUAUAAGGUUACCAUGAGUCAGAGCCGACUUGAUGGCAACUAACAACAACCUAGCCAAAAAAGCCAGUGAUUACCCCUGUCACCAAGAAUUGUCUCUCCAAACUCCCUCUUCACCCACCUCAUUUUUCAAGAUGAGAACCCGUGCAGGUGGAGUUUGUACGUGUAUUCCCAACUCACUGGCCACAGAUAAUUGUCUUGGGUUGGAACCUAAUCCAAGCCAGAUCAAUCAGAACCUCCUUCCCAGGAAAUUGGGAGGUUCAGUUCUAUGAGGUUCUAGCUCCAUCUGGGUCCUAGGAGAGAGAAGAUGUACAAACUCAGAAACUGUGAGUGAUAGGUGAGCAGGAAGUUGAUCUGCAGAGAAAGAAAAAAGAGUAUUUGUGCAGAGAAAAGCAGAAGUGAGAGUAUUCCUCAAGCUUCCCAACAACUUGUGUUUCCAGAUUCCAGUCCCUUUCUACGUCUCCACUGCUUGCCUGCCAGUAGGUUCCAUCAGGCAAGCCAGCAACUUUAAAAUGAAUUCUUGUUUCGGUUAAGUUAGCUUUAAGUUGGUUUCUGUACUUGUAACUAGAGCCCUAAAUGAUACAUAUUAAGAAAAUGACGUGAGCGAUAAAUGUAUCAGCAACUGCUAAAGGACACAUUAAGUAAAAGCUGACAUCCCUUUUAUCAAAAGCUAUGUUGUUGUUGGGUAUCACUGAGUCCAACUCCUGGUGACCCCAUGUGACAGAGUAGAACUGCCAUAAGGUUUUCUAGGCUGUAAUCUUUACAAAAGCAGAUCACCAGGUCUUUUUCCCACAGAGUGGCUUGGUGGGUUCACACUACCAACCUUUUGGUUACCAACUGAAUGCUUAGCCAUUGUGCCACCAGGGCUCCUUAUCAAAAGCUAUAAUCAACCCUUAAUUAUUCAGAGUUGAGUGGUCUCAGAAAUGUAUGAUCCAGAAUGUUCCUUCUGUUCCUCUUCCCAGCCAUUCAUUCAUUAAUUCAACAAUCAUUUGAUGUUUUCCUACUAUGUGCCAGGUAUUCUAUUAGGGGCUGGGGAUGCAACAGUGAAUAAGACAAGGUCCUUUUCCUCAUGGAGCUUCAAUUCCAGUGGGAGAGAUAGAAAACAAACAGGUAAAUUAAAUAAAAAAAAAACAGGUAAAUUAAAUAAGCCCAGAGUUAGAUCACUACUAGGAAGGAAAUAAAUAGGAUGCUGUGACACAGAUAAAAUAGCCAGGGAGGCCUCUUUGGAGAGGGGACACUUAAAAUGAGACUGGAAGGAUCAGAGGGAGCCAGCUAUGUAAGGAGCCAGGGAAGUGAUGUUGCAGGCUACAGGAGCAGGCCCUGAGUGGGGGAGAACCCGUCCUGCUCCAGAAAUGGGCAGAACACCAGUGUGACUGGAGACUGCUGAGGGAGGGGGAAGGGGGCAGAAGCUAAGGAUGAGACACAGGCAGCAGCAGCCAGAUCAUGGAGAGCCUUGUAGGCCAUGGUGAGGAGUUUGGAUUUUACUCAACAUCAGAAGCUAUUGAAACCACCAUAAGGAAAGUUUACCCGGGCUGUUGGCUGUGGGAAGUCUUCAAUGAGGAAAAAGCAGAAGGAAACAGAGGCUACUUCAGUUGGGAGGCAAUUGCAGGUAUCAAGGUAGGAGGUGAUAGUAGCUUAGAACAUUGAGGUAGCCGUGGGGACCGUGAGAAACGAGUGAAUUCAAGAUAUGUUUUGGAGGUUGAGCUGAUUGAAUGUGAGGGUGAGGGAAAGGGAUUAGGUGCAUGGGAUGAGGGAAAGGAAAGAAUCCGGGACGAGUCCAAGUUAUUGGCUUAGUAAGAAGGUAGACUCUAGGGUCAUUUCCUGAAAUGGAAAAUACUGGACAAAGACCAUUUGGCCUCUUACGGCUCACAUUUUGGCGAUUUCCCCCGCUGUCAUUUGAGGAAGGAAAGGGAGAAGCAUAACUCACUCAAGCUGGGGAUUAAUGUAUGUGUUCUAGAAACCAGUCCUCCCGGGGCAGCCUGACCUGGCCAGGAAGGGUUUUGGUCUCUAAAAGACUGUGUGGGCUGAAAAUUAGGUUUGCAUCCCCCUGUGCUGAGAGAUAGAAAGAGAAAGAGAAAGAGAGCGUGAGCACAGGAGUGAGUGUGAAGCUUGCCAAAGAUGAUUUGUCGUGGGUUAAUUUAUCUCUGAUAGAAGGACAAAUCCUACCGAAAAGGCAGGCAAUGAUAAAAUGACUUAUUGCAAUGCAUAUAAUCGCAAUAUGUGUGCCCCAGACACAGUGCAUUGGUUUCAAAGGAUGGUUGUAGCUGUGAUUUUCUUAAAGCAGUGGUUCUAAUCCUGGCUGCACAUUAGAAUCUCCCGGAGAGCAUCUGAGAUACACCAAUGGCCCAGGAUUCACUCCAGAUGAAUAAAUCAAAAUCUUUGGGGGUAGAGCUCAGUUACCAGUAUUUCCUUCAAAGCUCUCUUCAGGUUAUUCCAAUGUAUAGCAACGAUUUGCAAGUCAUUGGUAAAAAGCCAUUUAAACACAGACCUCAUGGGGAAAAAAAAUGGCCAUUUUGGUAAGCUGUUAGUCUUAAAGCAAUGAUUGUAAUCCAAGCACUUCCUUGCACCAAGAUAAGGCACAAUUAGUCUUGAUUUUCCUGAGUGCAUUUUUAUACCACAAGUUAUUAAAUGUGUCCAUCAUUCAAUACCGGUAUCUUAGUUCCUAGUGUUGCUGUAACAGAAAUGCCACAGGUGGAUGGGUUUAAAGGACAGAAAUGUAUUUUCUCAUAGUUCAUCGGGGUAGAAGUCUGAAUUCAGGGCACCAGCUCUCUCUGUUGGCUCUGGGGAGCGAUCCAUGUCUCUUCCAGCUUUCCUUGGUUCCUUGGUGAUCUUCACCUGGCGUGGCAUCUACCCCCACCCCACCCCCUUUGUGGUUGCCUGUUUCUGGGCUUAAUCUGCUCUUUUUAUAUCUUAAAAGUGAUUAGGUUUAAAGGCACAGCUUACACAGAUAUGACAUCAUUAACAUAACAAAGAAAACUUUAUUCCCAAAUAGGAUUCCUUGCACUGAUAUAGAGGUCAGGACUCUAGCACAAAUCAACCCGUAACAGCCAGCUCUGCAGAAGGAAAUCUCCCCAAAGCAAAACCCACCAGCCAAUUCAUGUCUAUACUAUCGAUUGAUCGCCGACUUAGUGUAUUACUUCCUAGCUGAGCGAUUCUGCUGGAGAUAGAACCAUACCCAACAUGAACAAUUUACUAGCGUGUCUCACCACUACGUCAAAUGGAAAGCUCCUGGUCAGCCUCAGUUUGGAGCCCUCAGUUGCUUACAAAACAAGCUUGUUUCCAUGGUAGAGUGUUUCACACGGCUUGGCUUAGGUCAAAACCAUGUUAGUGGGAAUCCUGCCACAGCUGAGCUAUGGAAUUUCCUGAUUAAGGAAAUGAGAGGAAGUAAGUCAUUAACUACCACCUACACACAGUACACCAACUUGGAAAGCUCGCUCUUUUUUUUUUUUUCAGAAGAAUUAAAAACAGAAGAUGCUGCUGUUACAAUUCUCUGAAAUAAGAUGACAAAAUCAAGGAUGAAAAUUUAACAGCUGUUUUGGAACUGCUUCUGGGAAUAAACAAAAAGCUGCCUAUGGUUUCGCCACAGUUAAAAAGCACAGAUUCUCUGUGAUUCACACACAAUCUAUAGCAUGCAAGCCGAGCCAAAGAAAUUAUGCAAAGAAAAGACAAUGAAAUAAGAGGAGGCUUAAUCAUCUUGACGGUUGCAGUUGUAAUUAAAUGUGAACUUGAGAAAACGAUUGCUUCACUCUGGUAAGAGGGCCAGGGGCUUAGGGGAAGGCUAAGCAAGUGGACCAAACGUUGUUGCUAAAUUUUCCCCCCUAUUCAAAGAAUUCAAACUUGAACCUACUAUUAAUAUCUAUAAAAUAUGAGAAAAUAAUAUUAUUUUUAUAGCUGGUAUGAAAAUUCCUCUUAGAAGAUGCCAGUUCUUUUCCUCCCUCCCUCCCUUCCUUCCUAAUUUUUUAAUAAGUCUGCUUAGAGUAGUAGCUGAGAGAGACCUCACGGGGCCUAAGUGUGAGCAGAAUUGCCAGGCAGGAGACAGGGAAAGGAAUUUGUGUUUUAACCAGAGAGGGUGGGGAAAGAGAGAAGUAAAAAGAGGAACAAGAUGGCUGAAGACUGUGGGAUGUACUGGGUAACUCUUACAUCUUUAGUUAAGCUCUAAACUCAUAAAAUGCUUGUGGUGGGGGUAGGGGAUCUUGUGCAGCUUUACCCUUGUGUAAAGGGCCUGAAUUUUCACAAGGAAAGAAAUGAAGAACAUAUACAGAGGCAACAAAUCACGACCAUGAGGCAGAGAGUUAGGAAUUUGCAAAAAUUGUGGGGAGGGCCGUGGAGUUUCAGCCAAGUUUACCUUAACCUCUGAAGGCCAGCGAGGCUUCAUCUGGAUUAUAUUUGCAAAGGUUUGGGAGAAGUUUUGCAUUUAUGCUACAUGGCAGCGAAGCCGUGCAGUGGAUUUUCCACUGAGUGCUGUGUACUGUGUUCUUGGAGUCGUGUUGUUGUUAGUUCCAUGGAGGUGGCUCCAAUUCAUGGUGACCUUAUGUAUAACAGAAUGAAACGUUGCCUGGUCCUGUGCCGUCUUACCUUCCAGCACUAUAUCAGAUAAUAUUCUGUUGUGAUUCAUAGGAUUUUCAUUGGCUGAUUUUUCGGAAGUAGAUCAAUAGGCAUUUCUUCCUAGUCUGUCUUAGUCUGGAAGUUCCGCUGAAGCCUGUCCACCAUGGGUGACCCUGCUGGUAUUUGAAAUACUGGUGGCAUAGCUUUCAGUAUCAUAGCAACAUGUAAGCUAGCACAGUGCCAAAAACUGACAGAUGGGUGGCUUUGAAUCAUACCUGGAAUGAUAACCAAGUUUCUACGGGGUACCUGAUGCACAUUUUCCAAUUUUGAUGUAUUAGGCAUCAAUCCAAUAGGUGAGACAAUAUCUAUCAUCUAACCAACCACUGGAAACCCUGGUGGCAUAGUGGUUGCAAGCUACGUCUGCUGACCAAAUGGUCAGCAGUUCAAAUCCACGAGGUGCUCUUUGGAAACCUAUGGAGCAGUUCUACUCCAUCCUAUAGGGUCGCUGUGAGUCAGAAUCAACUCAAUGGCAACGGGCUUGGUUUUUAACCAACCACCAUCAGCCCAUCCAUCCAUUAACUCAGCAAGCAUAUUGAGCACUUUCUGUUCAAGGCUCUCUAUUAGGCACUUGGGGGGUUGGUAAACAAAUAUGAAUAAGAAUAGAUCCUGAUCUUGAAAGCUUAGUCUAGUAAGCCUCAGAUAACUUUUACCGAAAUAGCUAGGUACCAGGCAGAAAGAAGUAAAGGCCACAAUAAAGGUAUGAUAAGGUGCUUUGAAAGCUCAGAUGGAGAAGGGUUGGCUUAAAGUUGGUGGGAGUGCAGGAGAGGAAGCAGCAGUUCAGAAAAGGUUUUAUGGAGGUGGCAACAUUUGCAAUGGAUCUUCGGAAAAAAAUAUGAUUUUGACAUUCGGGGACAGUGGUAGACAUGGAGUAGAGGAAGGCAUCGAGGAAGAAAAUCAUGAGCCACCUAAUACAAGCGACCAAGUUGAGUACCUGGAGUGACAGUGGGCCCCAGGACUGCUGCUAGCCAUUAUGAUGCCUUUGUGCAGAGUAGAAAAAGGCGCCCCCUGCUCCAGAGUGCAUGACAUGGCCAGCAGAGUGUGGCUGGAGUUCAGUCCUCACCCACCUCCUCAGCUGGGGACAUUUUUUGCAGUUCACGUUCUCCACUGCGGAAUGGGCUGUCCUAGGUGCGACACACUGAGAUAGGGAAUUCGGUUUGGGAGGGAAGAUGAUGAGCUCAGUUUGGGGCAUAAUGAGUUCCAUGCGUUAGCAGAACAUCUAGGCAGAAAUAGGAAACAAAACUAAAACGGAAAGACCAGCAUUUAGAGGGGAGUUCAGGAUUAGAAGUAUAGAUGAGCAGUCACUUUCAUGGAGUUGGACGUUGAGGUAAUGGGAUUGGAUGCAAGUUCCAAGGGAAAGCAUAUUACACUGUGGUUUUCAACCAGGGUGAUUUGGCAAUGUCUGGAGUCAUUUUUGGUUGACACGACCUGGGCAGGGGGAGCUACUGGCAUCUAGUAUGUUAAGGUCAGAGACCUUGCUGAACACCCUACAAUGCCCAGGAUAGCCCCCACAACAAAGAAUGAUUCAGUCCAGGAUGUCAAUAGUGUUGAGAUAGAAAACCCUGGUAUAAAGGGACAGAUCUUCGAAGAACACCUACAUUUAAGGGAGUAGCAAUAGAAGAGGCAUUGGGCCCCAC